rnacentral:rRNA from 1 species
UACAGAGGGUGCGAGCGUUAAUCGGAAUUACUGGGCGUAAAGCGUGCGUAGACGGUAGCGUAAGUCAGAUGUGAAAGCCCCGGGCUCAACCUGGGAACUGCAUUUGAGACUGCUCUGCUCGGGUGCGGAAGAGGGAAGCGGAAUUUCCGGUGUAGCGGUGAAAUGCGUAGAUAUCGGAAGGAACACCAGUGGCGAAAGCGGCUUCCUGGUCCGACACCGACGUUCAGGCACGAAAGCGUGGGAGCAACAGG